UAGGGAAUCUUCCGCAAUGGGCGAAAGCCUGACGGAGCAACGCCGCGUGAGUGAUGAAGGUCUUCGGAUCGUAAAACUCUGUUAUUAGGGAAGAACAAAUGUGUAAGUAACUAUGCACGUCUUGACGGUACCUAAUCAGAAAGCCACGGCUAACUACGUGCCAGCAGCCGCGGUAAUACGUAGGUGGCAAGCGUUAUCCGGAAUUAUUGGGCGUAAAGCGCGCGUAGGCGGUUUUUUAAGUCUGAUGUGAAAGCCCACGGCUCAACCGUGGAGGGUCAUUGGAAACUGGAAAACUUGAGUGCAGCAGAGGAAAGUGGAAUUCCAUGUGUAGCGGUGAAAUGCGCAGAGAUAUGGAGGAACACCAGUGGCGAAGGCGACUUUCUGGUCUGUAACUGACGCUGAUGUGCGAAAGCGUGGGGAUCAAACAGG
rnacentral:rRNA from 1 species